CUCAUAGUGAUAAAGCUUUUCUUAAGUGCAGUAUAAAAUAAUAUUUGAGUCCAAGUCGAGUCGAAAGUCUAAGCUAUUGAGUCCAAGUAAAGUCUGGAGUAUUGCAUUGUUAGAUCGAGUGGAGUUGAAAUAAUGUCAAGGAAAAAAUGGCUGUGGAAAAAAUGGAUAAGUGUUUAGGUGGAAAAAAUGGCAGGAGAAAAAAAAGAAAAUGUGUCAAGGUGGAUAAAAUGGCAGAAGAAAAAAAAAUGAAAAAUGUUUAGGUGGUAUAAAAUGGCUAGAUUCGUUUAAACGAAUAAACUGAGCAUUUAAACAGAUAUCUCAAAGAAAAAAUAGCAGUGGAAAAAAUGGCUGGAGAAAAAAAAGGAAAAGUGUCUAGGUGGAAAAAAUGCCAGGAGAAAAAAAAAGGAAAUGUGUCUAGGUGGAAAAAAUGGCAGGAAAAAAAAAAGGAAAAAUGCCUAGGUGAAAAAAUGACUAGAUUCGUUUAAACGAAUAUCACUCAACCUAUCACCAGUAAUAUUAAGAAAAAGAAAAAUAAACAAAUAUGACAGUAGUUCGAAUGGAAGAAGUGCUAAUCAUUAAUUAAUCACUUAUUUCCCCCAUUACUCAUGGAUUGACGAACAAGCAUUAGCAAUUAUAUAUUGUAUAUUCAGAAAUACAAAGCAUCUAAAAUUUUACAGAGGUGGAAUCUCCGUCCCAAGGAAGGAGUCCACCCUGGUCAUUUUCAUCUCGUCUUCCCUCGUGGAAUUCGGAAUCCGAACUUCUUUUGAUAUGGAUAGUCAAGUUAUAAGUCUCUUCCUGCAAUUUCCUCCAUCUUCUUUUGGUUCUAACUCUAAGGGAACAUACAAGUCCACUUCUUCCGGUUUAAUGAUUGAAGAAUGUUCUUAGCCCUUAGUAAUUGUCAAAUUAAAAGCACAUCUGAAUACUGAAUUUUUCUCUCUUAGGAUGAUUCAAUUGUUCAAAUGUGUUGUUUUUAUAUAUUUUUAGUUUAUGGGAGUAACUUCAAAUUGUUGUAGCACCUAUUAGUAUUUGUAGUUAACAUAUCUUACUUUAUAUUUCACAUCCAGAGCCUUAUAUCUGAAUCACAAAGGGAAUGAAUCCCCUCAUAGUUUCAACCCUUGAAUAUAUUCUUUGCUAUAUAUAGAUGAAUAGAUAUCUACCCUAAGUAGGAAUCCACUCUACUCUCGUAUGAAGCUUAGCUUGGUUUGGUUCGCCUCUUAGAACAAAUUUUCAUCCCAUCAUCAUCUCCGUAUAUAUCAGAAAUCGAGCAUCUCUUGUUGAGGAUAAAGUAUCACAAAUCUCUUCUUUUUUCCUAAUUCUUUGAGAAUUUGGAAGUAUUUCUGUAUUUAAUGAAUGAAGAUCGAUCUAAGCACAUCUAAAUUAAAAAUGUGUUGCUCUAUUUAUCCAAAUGUUUGUGUGUAAUAUGAUUCAACAUUAAGAUAAUAACUAAUAUUCAUGUUGUGAUAAUCCUAAUAAACAUAUUUUACUUUAUAUGUUACAUAAACGA
rnacentral:lncRNA from 1 species